GAUCAUGGCUCAGGAUGAACGCUAGCUACAGGCUUAACACAUGCAAGUCGAGGGGCAGCAUGGUCUUAGCUUGCUAAGGCUGAUGGCGACCGGCGCACGGGUGAGUAACACGUAUCCAACCUGCCGUCUACUCUUGGCCAGCCUUCUGAAAGGAAGAUUAAUUCCAGGAUGGCAUCAUGAGUUCACAUGUCCGCAUGAUUUAAAGGUAUUUUCCGGUAGACGA
rnacentral:rRNA from 1 species